rnacentral:lncRNA from 1 species
GUACGAUUGCUAAGUCUUUCAGUCAGCUGUGGAAAUAACUUUUCUGGUUGUCAGAAUGAGCACACUACUGUCACCAUAAAUAACAGUGCACUGGGAAGCAUGCAUGUCGCAAACAUAAAAGUAUGAUACAAAAGAUAGCUUCAAACAUAUGUUGUUUCAUUUCUCUUCAAAAUAGUCUGGAUAUCCUGUUAAGAUGCCCAGACUUCCUGUAAUAGAGAUUGAAAUCAUUUUUCUAAAAAAAAAAUAUAUGUGUCCCUCUUGGUUAUUUAAUGUAGCAGAACAAUAGCAAAAUAAAAUACCAGUGGAAUAUUUGAUAAUUUUUUUAUUGAGGAAACAGGGAAGUUAGAAUGAAAUAUAGUACUCUUCAAGCUAACAAGAAAAUAUGCUUUCAGCUUUCUGACCCACCUCAAGAUCUUCUACCAUUUAUAAACAAAAAAAAAAAAAAAAAAAAAAGAAAGAAAGAAAAAAGAAAAAGAAAGGAAGGAAGGAAGGAAAAAGAAAAAAUCUUCAAUUUUCAAAAGCCUUCUAAAGACCUCCUGGGACUGUAAACAAAGGCUAUAUUGUAUUCUUGGCUGAAGCUUGUUAAGUGGCUCAUGAAUAACUCUAAAUGCAUCCUUCCCAUAAAUCUCCUUGAUGUAGGACUCCUGUUACCAGCCACAGACAUCACUGGCAUCCAUCAUAAACUAGGAGAUGGGAGAUUUGCAACCAGCAUCUCAAUAACUAACCCCAGCAUAGGCUCCAUGUGAUUCUCUUGUAAACUGAAAGUCCUGGAACAGAGAAAUGCUGGUACUCACCUCCUGUCUGUUCACCCCCUCCUUUAAUGCAUUGGACAUACACUUAACAUACAUUGGAAAGUAAAUAGGACCUAAAUUUCAGUACUUCAUUCAGAGAAACUGAAAAGAAUGGGGCCACGGAAGUUUAUUACAGAGAUUAUUAUAUUCCUUAACUCUCUAAAUUUUUUUUCUUUCCAGGCUGGGUGGUGGUGGCACAUACUUUUAAACUCAGCACUCUGGAAACAAGGCUGGUGGAUCUCUUUGAGUUUGAGUCCAGCAUGUACACUCUUGCUCUGUCUCUAAUUCAUAGUUUGUAUUAUUUCAAUUGUCAUACACACACACACACACAUACACACACACACACACACACAUACACUCACACACACACUCACACACAUGUGUUCCUAAUAUAUGUAUAUUCCUAUAUGUGUAUUAAUAUAUGCAUAUUUCUAAAUAUCUGUAACAUUCUCAUUUCAGAUAAUGCUACCUGUGUGCAUAUGAUUUUAGGUCUAGUACCAGGCCUCUUCCUGAGAGACCAUUUUCCUUUCUCUCAGCAUUCCCCAGUUGUCCAUACUUAUUUGACAAGGAAAUUAAGAAAUCACAAAUGAUGUCCUCAGAUGUACACUUAAAUUGACAACAGUUUGGAGGUGUUCCUUCUAAUGAAUUUUUUGUUUUUAAAAUGUUAAUGCUUUGUAUGUGCUAAACAGGAAGAAAUAAAUGUCAAACAGAACUGAAGUUUCUCAGUGAUGUUUCCAGUAAAGAACAUGAAGACAUUUCUUACAUGGGUCCCUCUGCGAUUACCAAAGCUAUGUCAUGGCUUCACUGAUGCUUGCAGGAAAUACUGCUCAUGUCUGCUUGAAGUAUUUUAUCAUGUUAAGUUCUGCAGUUGUAUGAAAGGAAUUUAUCAAUGUCUCAAAAUAAACUUGUGUGUCAAGCUAAGACUGAGCAGCAUAUGAUAUUUUUAAUAGGAAGAAUAAAUGAAAAAUUGUGCAAAUGGCUUUUUAAUCACUGUCCUGUGAUUUAGAUCUACUAUGGAAAUAAUUUUUUUCAUUUUCAUUCAAUGAUCUGAUUUUAUCUUAUUGUUUUUUUUUUUUUGAGACAGGGUUUCUCUGUGUAGCCCUGGCUGUCCUGGAACUCACUCUGUAGACCAGGCUGACCUCGAACUCAGAAAUCUGCCUGCCUCUGCCCCCCAAGUGCUGGGAUUAAAGGAGUGUGCCACUACUGCCCAGCUCCUUAUUUUAUUUUAUUUUAUCGUAUUGGUUAUUUUAUUUAUUUAAAUUUCAAAUGUUGUUCUCCACAAACCCACUAUUCCAUCCCCUCCUCCUCCUGCUUUUAUGAGGGUGUUCUCUCACCCACCGAACCACUCCUGUCUCAGUGCCCAAGCCAGGACAUUGAGCCUCCUCAGGACCAAAGGGCUCCCUUCCCAUUGAUGCCAGAUAAGGUAAUCCUCUCCUACAUAUACAGCUGGAGCCAUCAGUCCCUCCAUGCAUACCCUUUGUUUGGUGGUUUAGUCCCUGGAAGCUUUGGGGGGGUCUGGUUGGUUUGUAUUGUUGGUCUUCCUAUGGGGUUGAUAACCCCUUCAGCUCCUUCAGUCCUUCUCCUAACUCCUCCAUUGGGUUCCCAUGAUUAGUCCAAUGGUUGGCUGUGUAUAUCUGUAUCUGUAUUGGUCAGGCUCUGGCACAGCCUCUCAGGAGACAGCUAUACCAAAAUCCUGUCAGCAAGUACUUCUUAGCAUCAACAAUAGCAUCUAGGUUUGGUUCUGUAGAUGGCAUGGAUCCCUAGGUGGGACUCAGCUAAUAAAAACAAUGACUUUAUGAAAUUUGCAGGCAAAUAGAUGGAACUAGAAGAUAUCAUCCAGAGUGAGAUAACCCAGUCACAAAAGAACACACAUGGUAGGUACUCACUGAUAAUUGGAUAUUAGGG